rnacentral:tRNA from 1 species
GCUGGCGUAGCUCAAUUGGUAGAGCAUCGGAUUUGUAAUCCGAAGGUUAAGGGUUCAAGUCCCCUCGCCAGCUCCA